rnacentral:rRNA from 1 species
GACGAACGCUGGCGGCGUGCUUAACACAUGCAAGUCGAACGGAAAGGCCCCUUUGGGGGUCCUCGAGUGGCGCACGGGUGAGUAACACGUGAGUAACCUGCCCUUGACUUCGGGAUAACUUCAGGAAACUGGGGCUAAUACCGGAUAGGAAUCCUUGCUGCAUGGUGGGGGUUGGAAAGCUUCGGCGGUGUUGGAUGGACUCGCGGCUUAUCAGCUUGUUGGUGGGGUAGUGGCUUACCAAGGCUUUGACGGGUAGCCGGCCUGAGAGGGCGACCGGCCACAUUGGGACUGAGAUACGGCCCAGACUCCGACGGGAGGCAGCAGUGGGGAAUAUUGCACAAUGGGCGGAAGCCUGAUGCAGCAACGCCGCGGGCGGGAUGACGGCCUUCGGGUUGUAAACCGCUUUCAGCAGGGGCGAAGCUUGUGGUGACGGUACCUGCAGAAGAAGCACCGGCUAACUACGUG